rnacentral:lncRNA from 1 species
GGGCCAGCUGUUCUGUCACAGUCAUCUGGGAUCCCCAGUGUCCAGCAGCUGCUCAAGUCAAGGAACUGAUGAAUUCAACUGAUGAGUGAAUGGAAGGAUUUUUGUUCCUGUUUGAGAUAGAGAAAAUGGAAUAAUACAAGUAGGAACUCAAUGCUCUUUCACCUAGAUCAAAGACCUUUGGAACACAAGAAAGAACAAGACAGAUGGAAGCCCUUGCUCUCCUUGGAGCCAUCCAUUUUAGUGUGGAAAGACAGACAACAAAGAAGGUAAGUAAAGAACAUAGUAUAUUAAAAGGCAGUAAGUGCUACAGAGAAAAACAAAGCAGGAAAGAGGGAUGGCACUGGGAUAGGCUGGCAGUCUUAAACAGUGUAG